UACGGGGGGGGCAAGCGUUGUUCGGAAUUACUGGGCGUAAAGGGCUCGUAGGCGGCCUACUAAGUCAGACGUGAAAUCCCCAGGCUUAACCUGGGAACUGCGUCUGAUACUGGAUGGCUUGAAUUCGGGAGAGGGAUGCAGAAUUCCAGGUGUAGCGGUGAAAUGCGUAGAUAUCUGGAGGAACACCGGUGGCGAAGGCGGCAUCCUGGACCAACACUGACACUGAGGAGCGAAAGCCAGGGGAGCAAACGGG
rnacentral:rRNA from 1 species